UCUCUCGCUUAUCAACUUAAUAUUCGUUUGUCGAGGGAGUAGUUUUGGGCUACAUCAAAAUCAUUUUAAUCUUAUUAAAAGAACAUGGGCCUAUCACAACUAUUGGUCCAAGUUAAUAUGAAUUUAGUAGUUUAUAAUACUCCCACUAUUUCGAAGAAAUAAGUGAGACUAUAUGGAACUACUAAUGAAUGCAUUGCAUCCUCAUAUGGACUAUAUAGUCAUAUUAGGUUUUAGGAUGAUUAUGAAACGAUUAAUUUGAUCCAACACGAGCCUUGUGUUGGACCUUGGGUUUAAGGUAGAUAGUUGUUGAUUUUAGUUACGCGUUUAAUCCAAUUAAACCGUUAUUUCCUAUUGGGCGUUGGACCCAACUAUUCCAUUUUGCAUACAUAUAAACAAAAAGGAAUACAUGAAAUAAUAAGAAGGGCUUAUGCCCUUUUACAACACAAAUGAUGGACUUAUGUCCAUUUACAACAAAUUGAAUUAAUCAAAUUACAUUCAAAUCUACACUACCAUACCCAAACAUUCAUAAUGUAAAGCGGCCAAUCACAUAGCUCAAUUAUCGAGGCCUUUGGUUCAUAAUCACCAUUUUCUUAAUUAAUCACAUUAACUAAGAAAGCAACUUAAACAAUUGGUUUUUGGAUCCAUAGAACUGAUUUAAAUGGAACUAAAUGGAAUGAAAAUCCAAUUCUCAUUAAAGAGACAAAACAAUUUUGUUCUCAUUUUAUUUGGGCCAAAAGGAAACUAUGACCACAACAAUUGGGCCACAAUGCAAAAACACAAACUUUUGGGGUCACUUUGAAAAAAUACAAAAGUCCACAACUUCAUGUAAUUUCAACUAGAACCCAAAAUUUUAAUAAUGUAAAAACAUCAUUAAAGGAUCGAAACAAUUCGUCCUUUAGAGUUUUUGGGCCUUAACGUAAAAACGUAAACUUUUGGGCCAAAGUGCAAAUACACAAAAGUAUCAAAACUUUAUGUAAUUGCAUAAAAGGCCCCAAAAGUACCCCCACUAGGGGGUGGCCAGUUUUAGAGUAGUAAAGGAGUGUGAAAGGGUUUUAUGCAAGUAGAUUUUAUUAGGUGAGAUAUAAAGGUGAUAUAGAUUGGUUGUAAGAAAUAUUUAUGUCAAACAUUAAAGAUAUUUGUCUAACAUUAAAGCCAAUAAUAAUGCUUCACCAAUAACCAUCACCCAUCAAAAUUAAACCAAAACAUUAUGAAAAACAUAAAACUUUUGAAUCAUAACUUCAAAACUUUUUGUUCUUGGCAAGAACUUCAAGAACAUUGAAGAACACCAUGAAAACUCAUAAUAGCUCCAUGAAUGUUUUCACUCACCAAAACUCAAUUUUUCACCACUCAAAAGAGGGCUAAUAUCCUAGGGUACUUAGGGGUUCCAAAAGUCACCUUAAAACCAUUUUAACAAGACAAACAUGAAACCAAAAAAUCACCCUUUGGAUUUGGCCGAAUUUCCCAAAAUACAUGGCACCAAAUUUU
rnacentral:lncRNA from 1 species